rnacentral:tRNA from 1 species
GGGGAUUUGGCUUAGUGGAAGAGUGUGUGCCUAGCAAGUGCAAGGCCCUGAAUUCAGUCUUCAGUAUCACCA